AGAGUUUGAUCCUGGCUCAGGAUGAACGCUAGCGGCAGGCUUAACACAUGCAAGUCGAGGGGCAGCGAGUGUAGCAAUACAUGUCGGCGACCGGCGGAAGGGUGCGUAACGCGUGAGCAACAUGCCCGUGAUCGGGGGAUAGUCAUUGGAAACGAUGCGUAAUACCCCAUAACAACGAGGACCGCAUGGUCCAUGUUUGAAAGCUUCGGUGAUCACGGAUUGGCUCGCGUGGCAUUAGCCAGUAGGCGGGGUAACGGCCCACCUAAGCGACGAUGCCUAGGGGUUCUGAGAGGAAGAUCCCCCACAUUGGGACUGAGACACGGCCCAAACUCCUACGGGAGGCAGCAGUGAGGAAUAUUGGUCAAUGGACGGAAGUCUGAACCAGCCAUGCCGCGUGAAGGAAGGCGGCCCUAUGGGUUGUAAACUUCUUUUGUAGUGGAGCAAUAAGGUGUACGAGUACACCGAUGAGAGUACAUUACGAAUAAGCAUCGGCUAACUCCGUGCCAGCAGCCGCGGUAAUACGGAGGAUGCGAGCGUUAUCCGGAUUUAUUGGGUUUAAAGGGUGCGUAGGCUGUGCUGCAAGUCAGUGGUGAAAGACCUGCGCUCAACGCAGGAAGUGCCAUUGAUACUGCAGUGCUGGAGUACCCCUGCCGUGGGAGGAAUGAGUGGUGUACCGGUGAAAUGCAUAGAUAUCACUCAAAACACCGAUUGCGAAGGCAUCUCACGAAAGGGCAACUGACGCUGAGGCACGAAAAGCGUGGGGAUCAAACAGGCUUAGAUACCCUGGUAGUCCACGCUGUAAACGAUGAUGACUAACUGUCGGCGAUAUACAGUCGGUAGCCAAGCGAAAGCGAUAAGUCAUCCACCUGGGGAGUACGACCGCAAGGUUGAAACUCAAAGGAAUUGACGGGGGCCCGCACAAGCGGAGGAACAUGUGGUUUAAUUCGAUGAUACGCGAGGAACCUUACCCGGGCUCGAACGGCAGGCGAACGAUGCAGAGAUGCAAAGGUCCUUCGGGACGUCUGUCGAGGUGCUGCAUGGUUGUCGUCAGCUCGUGUCGUGAGAUGUUGGCUCAAGUGCCAUAACGAGCGCAACCCUUGCCGCCAGUUACCAUCAAGUAAAGUUGGGGACUCUGGCGGGACUGCCACCGCAAGGUGAGAGGAGGGGGGGGAUGACGUCAAAUCAGCACGGCCCUUACGUCCGGGGCGACACACGUGUUACAAUGGCGGUUACAGAGGGGUGCCACCCAGUGAUGGGGAGCUGAUCUCGAAAAGCCGCCUCAGUUCGGAUCGGAGUCUGCAACUCGACUCCGUGAAGCUGGAUUCGCUAGUAAUCGCGCAUCAGCCAUGGCGCGGUGAAUACGUUCCCGGGCCUUGUACACACCGCCCGUCAAGCCAUGAAAGCCGGGGGUGCCUGAAGUUCGUGACCGGAAGGAGCGACCUAGGGCAAAACUGGUAAUUGGGGCUAAGUCGUAACAAGGUAGCCGUACCGGAAGGUGUGGCUGGAUCACCUCCUUUCU
rnacentral:rRNA from 1 species